rnacentral:rRNA from 1 species
AUGCACGCUGGCGGCGUGCCUAAUACCUGCAAGUCGAGCGAACAGAUAAGGAGCUUGCUCCUUUGACGUUAGCGGCGGACGGGUGAGUAACACGUGGGUAACCUACCUAUAAGACUGGGAUAACUUCGGGAAACCGGAGCUAAUACCGGAUAACAUUUGGAACCGCAUGGUUCUAAAGUGAAAGAUGGUUUUGCUAUCACUUAUAGAUGGACCCGCGCCGUAUUAGCUAGUUGGUAAGGUAACGGCCUACCAAGGCGACGAUACGUAGCCGACCUGAGAGGGUGAUCGGCCACACUGGAACUGAGACACGGUCCAGACUCCUACGGGAGGCAGCAGUAGGGAAUCUUCCGCAAUGGGCGAAAGCCUGACGGAGCAACGCCGCGUGAGUGAUGAAGGGUUUCGGCUCGUAAAACUCUGUUAUUAGGGAAGAACAAAUGUGUAAGUAACUGUGCACGUCUUGACGGUACCUAAUCAGAAAGCCACGGCUAACUACGU